UCCGUCGUGAAGAGGGAAACAACCCAGACCGCCAGCUAAGGUCCCAAAGUCAUGGUUAAGUGGGAAACGAUGUGGGAAGGCCCAGACAGCCAGGAUGUUGGCUUAGAAGCAGCCAUCAUUUAAAGAAAGCGUAAUAGCUCACUGGUCGAGUCGGCCUGCGCGGAAGAUGUAACGGGGCUAAACCAUGCACCGAAGCUGCGGCAGCGACGCUUAUGCGUUGUUGGGUAGGGGAGCGUUCUGUAAGCCUGCGAAGGUGUGCUGUGAGGCAUGCUGGAGGUAUCAGAAGUGCGAAUGCUGACAUAAGUAACGAUAAAGCGGGUGAAAAGCCCGCUCGCCGGAAGACCAAGGGUUCCUGUCCAACGUUAAUCGGGGCAGGGUGAGUCGACCCCUAAGGCGAGGCCGAAAGGCGUAGUCGAUGGGAAACAGGUUAAUAUUCCUGUACUUGGUGUUACUGCGAAGGGGGGACGGAGAAGGCUAUGUUGGCCGGGCGACGGUUGUCCCGGUUUAAGCGUGUAGGCUGGUUUUCCAGGCAAAUCCGGAAAAUCAAGGCUGAGGCGUGAUGACGAGGUACUACGGUGCUGAAGCAACAAAUGCCCUGCUUCCAGGAAAAGCCUCUAAGCAUCAGGUAACAUCAAAUCGUACCCCAAACCGACACAGGUGGUCAGGUAGAGAAUACCAAGGCGCUUGAGAGAACUCGGGUGAAGGAACUAGGCAAAAUGGUGCCGUAACUUCGGGAGAAGGCACGC
rnacentral:rRNA from 1 species